rnacentral:misc_RNA from 1 species
GAUGAAGAACGCAGCGAAAUGCGAUAAGUAAUGUGAAUUGCAGAAUUCAGUGAAUCAUCGAAUCUUUGAACGCACAUUGCGCCCGCCAGUAUUCUGGCGGGCAUGCCUGUUCGAGCGUCAUUUCAACCAUCAAGCCCCCGGCUUGUGUUGGGGACCUGCGGCUGUCGCAGGCCCUGAAAACCAGUGGCGGGCUCGCUAGUCACUCCGAGCGUAGUAAUACAUCUCGCUCAGGGCGUGCUGCGGGUUCCGGCCGUUAAAAAGCCUUAUUUACCCAAGGUUGACCUCGGAUCAGGUAGGAAGACCCGCUGAACUUAAGCAUAUCAAUAAGCGGAGGA